UUGAAUGUUCAAGAAUGAGAAAAAUGAGUAAAAGAUUCUAACUUUUUUCCCUCAAGCAGAAGAUUGAAUGUUCUUCAAUAUUUAAGAAUGAGAAAAAUGGGUAAAAGAUUGUGCCUUUUUUAAGCAAGAUUGCAGAAAAAUGAUCAUAAUGCAAGCAGAAAAAUGAGUAAAAGGCUUGCAGUCAAAAUAUGGACCGAUAAACCCUCAUUAUGGUUUCCUGCAUUGAUCAUAAUGCAUGCAUCCAGAGAGUUGAUCUGCAUAAUGAAAUAUAUACCAGAUAGACACUAUGAGAAAUAGUUCAAACUCCGAAGGGUUGGUUUCUUUGUACUUUGCUUCACUUGACUUGUUC
rnacentral:lncRNA from 1 species